rnacentral:rRNA from 1 species
GAUUAGUGGCGAACGGGUGAGUAACACGUGAGUAACCUGCCCCUGACUCUGGGAUAAGCGUUGGAAACGACGUCUAAUACUGGAUAUGACUGCCGGCCGCAUGGUCUGGUGGUGGAAAGAUUUUUUGGUUGGGGAUGGACUCGCGGCCUAUCAGCUUGUUGGUGAGGUAAUGGCUCACCAAGGCGACGACGGGUAGCCGGCCUGAGAGGGUGACCGGCCACACUGGGACUGAGACACGGCCCAGACUCCUACGGGAGGCAGCAGUGGGGAAUAUUGCACAAUGGGCGAAAGCCUGAUGCAGCAACGCCGCGUGAGGGAUGACGGCCUUCGGGUUGUAAACCUCUUUUAGUAGGGAAGAAGCGUAAGUGACGGUACCUGCAGAAAAAGCACCGGCUAACUACGUGCCAGCAGCCGCGGUAAUACGUAGGGUGCAAGCGUUGUCCGGAAUUAUUGGGCGUAAAGAGCUCGUAGGCGGUUUGUCGCGUCUGCUGUGAAAUCCCGAGGCUCAACCUCGGGCUUGCAGUGGGUACGGGCAGACUAGAGUGCGGUAGGGGAGAUUGGAAUUCCUGGUGUAGCGGUGGAAUGCGCAGAUAUCAGGAGGAACACCGAUGGCGAAGGCAGAUCUCUGGGCCGUAACUGACGCUGAGGAGCGAAAGCGUGGGGAGCGAACAGGAUUAGAUACCCUGGUAGUCCACGCCGUAAACGUUGGGCGCUAGAUGUAGGGACCUUUCCACGGUUUCUGUGUCGUAGCUAACGCAUUAAGCGCCCCGCCUGGGGAGUACGGCCGCAAGGCUAAAACUCAAAGGAAUUGACGGGGGCCCGCACAAGCGGCGGAGCAUGCGGAUUAAUUCGAUGCAACGCGAAGAACCUUACCAAGGCUUGACAUACACCGGAAACGGCCAGAGAUGGUCGCCCCCUUGUGGUCGGUGUACAGGUGGUGCAUGGUUGUCGUCAGCUCGUGUCGUGAGAUGUUGGGUUAAGUCCCGCAACGAGCGCAACCCUCGUUCUAUGUUGCCAGCGCGUUAUGGCGGGGACUCAUAGGAGACUGCCGGGGUCAACUCGGAGGAAGGUGGGGAUGACGUCAAAUCAUCAUGCCCCUUAUGUCUUGGGCUUCACGCAUGCUACAAUGGCCGGUACAAAGGGCUGCGAUACCGUAAGGUGGAGCGAAUCCCAAAAAGCCGGUCUCAGUUCGGAUUGAGGUCUGCAACUCGACCUCAUGAAGUCGGAGUCGCUAGUAAUCGCAGAUCAGCAACGCUGCGGUGAAUACGUUCCCGGGCCUUGUACACACCGCCCGUCAAGUCAUGAAAGUCGGUAACACCCGAAGCCGGUGGCCUAACCCUUGUGGAAG